CCGCUUAGAUAGGUAGUUGGUGGGGUAAUGGCCUACCAAGCCUACGAUCUAUAGCUGGGUUUAGAGGAUGAUCAACAACACUGGGACUGAGACACGGCCCAACUCCUACGGGAGGCAGCAUGGGGAAUCUUGGACAAUGGGGGCAACCCUGAGCCAGCCAUGCCGCGUGAGUGAUGAAGGCCUUAGGGUCGCAAAGCUCUUUCGCCUGUGAAGAUAAUGACGGUAGCAGGUAAAGAAACCCCGGGUAACUCCGUGCCAGCAGCCGCGGUAAUACGGAGGGGGUUAGCGUUGUUCGGAAUUACUGGGCGUAAAGCGCACGUAGGCGGACUGGAAAGUUGGGGGUGAAAUCCCAGGGCUCAACCCUGGAACUGCCUCCAAAACUAUCAGUCUAGAGUUCGAGAGAGGUGAGUGGAAUUCCGAGUGUACAGGUGAAAUUCUAGAUAUUCGGAGGAACACCAGUGGCGAAGGCGGCUCACUGGCUCGAUACUGACGCUGAGGUGCGAGAGUGUGGGGAGCAAACAGGAUUAGAUACCCUGGUAGUCCACACCGUAAACGAUGAAUGCC
rnacentral:rRNA from 1 species